rnacentral:rRNA from 1 species
GACGAACGCUGGCGGCGUGCCUAAUACAUGCAAGUCGAACGCAGUGGGGACGGGUGAGUAACACGUGGGUAACCUCCCAUCAGAGGGGAUAACACUUGGCAACAGGCGCUAAAACUGAUAUGGAUGGAGGGACGCGGGGUGGAUUAGCUAGUUGGUGGGGUAACGGCUCACCAAGGCUACGAUGCCUAGCCGGCCUGAGAGGGUGACCGGCCACACUGGGACUGAGACACGGCCCAGACUCCUACGGGAGGCAGCAGUGGGGAAUCUUCGGCAAUGGACGAAAGUCUGACCGAGCAACGCCGCGUGAGUGAAGAAGGUUUUCGGGUCGUAAAACUCUGUUGUUAGAGAAGCGGUAUCUAACCAGAAAGCCCCGGCUAACUACGUGCCAGCAGCCGCGGUAAUUC